GACGAACGCUGGCGGCGUGCCUAAUACAUGCAAGUCGAGCGAGUCUGCCUUGAAGAUCGGUGUGCUUGCACUGUGUGAAACAAGAGACAGGCAAGUGGCGGACGUGUCAGUAAGACGGGGGUAACCUGCCCAAGACAUCGGGAUAACACCUGGAAACUUAUACUAAUACCGGAUAACAACAGAUGAUGCCUUUCAACUGACUAAUAGAUGGUUCUGCUAUCACUUAUGGAUGGACCUGCGUUGCAUUAGCUAGUUGGUAAGGUAACGGCCUACCAAGGCGAUGAUGCAUAGCCGAGCUGAGAGGCUGAUCGGCCACACUGGAACUGAGACACGGUCCAGACUCCUACGGGAGGCAGCAGUAGGGAAUCUUCCACAAUGGGCGCAAGUCUGAUGGAGCAACGCCGCGUGAGUGAAGAAGGGUUUCGGCUCGUAAAGCUCUGUUAUUGGUGAAGAAGGAAGGGGGUAGUAACUGAGCUUUGUUUGACGGUAAUCAAUUAGAAAGCCACGGCUAACUACGUG
rnacentral:rRNA from 1 species